AUUUUGGCUCAGCCACAUCCGCUUCUGAAGAGCUCUCAGCCAAUCAAUGAGUAUCUGCGCAGAGAAUUAUCAUUAUCAAGCUUGGAAUUAUUCCAUCUUGACUAGCGAGAGCUGCUGGAUAUGGUGUUACACUCUUUCUUUUACUGUUUGUAAGUAAUUUAUUUAGCCCAGCUACGUUAAACACCAGUAAGUCUUCUUCCUGAAUACAUCACAGGGAGUUUGGAUGGUGUUUCCCACCACCCUGAAGAAAGCAAUGUUUAUCCAUAAGAUCAAUAGGUCUUGAUAGGUUUUCAAGAAGAUGCAGAACUAUGUGUGGCUCAACUUCAGGGAAAAUUCUGCUCACAGCUGGAAUACCAAAUAUUAACCAUUGCUACUCUAGAUAUAAAACAGAAAAUAGAU